rnacentral:rRNA from 1 species
AUUGAACGCUGGCGGAAUGCUUUACACAUGCAAGUCGAACGGUAGAGGGGGCAACCCCUCGAGAGUGGCGAACGGGUGAGUAAUAUAUCGGAACGUGCCCAGUCGUGGGGGAUAACGUAGCGAAAGUUACGCUAAUACCGCAUACGAUCUAAGGAUGAAAGCGGGGGAUCGCAAGACCUCGCGCGAUUGGAGCGGCCGAUAUCAGAUUAGGUAGUUGGUGGGGUAAAAGCUCACCAAGGCGACGAUCUGUAGCUGGUCUGAGAGGACGACCAGCCACACUGGGACUGAGACACGGCCCAGACUCCUACGGGAGGCAGCAGUGGGGAAUUUUGGACAAUGGGCGCAAGCCUGAUCCAGCCAUGCCGCGUGCGGGAAGAAGGCCUUCGGGUUGUAAACCGCUUUUGUCAGGGAAGAAACGGCUCCUACUAAUACUGGGGGCUAAUGACGGUACCUGAAGAAUAAGCACCGGCUAACUACGUGCCAGCAGCCGCAGUAA